UACGUAGGGCGCAAGCGUUGUCCGGAAUUAUUGGGCGUAAAGAGCUCGUAGGCGGUCUGUCGCGUCGGAUGUGAAAGCCCGGGGCUUAACCCCGGGUCUGCAUUCGAUACGGGCAGACUAGAGUGUGGUAGGGGAGAUCGGAAUUCCUGGUGUAGCGGUGAAAUGCGCAGAUAUCAGGAGGAACACCGGUGGCGAAGGCGGAUCUCUGGGCCAUUACUGACGUUGAGGAGCGAAAGCGUGGGGAGCGAACAGG
rnacentral:rRNA from 1 species